GACGAACGCUGGCGGCGUGCCUAAUACAUGCAAGUCGAACGCUUCUUUCCUCCCGAGUGCUUGCACUCAAUUGGAAAGAGGAGUGGCGGACGGGAGAGUAACACGCGGGUAACCUACCACUCAGAGGGGGAUAACACUUGGAAACAGGUGCUAAUACCGCAUAACAGUUUAUGCCGCAUGGCAUAAGAGUGAAAGGCGAUUUCGGGUGUCGCUGAUGGAUGGCCCCGCGGUGCAUUAGCUAGUUGGUGAGGUAACGGCCCACAAAGGCCACGAUGCAUAGCCGACCUGAGAGGGUGAUCGGCCACACUGGUACUGAGACACGGCCCAGACUCCUACGGGAGGCAGCAGUAGGGAAUCUUCGGCAAUGGACGGAAGGCUGACCGAGCAACGCCGCGUGAGUGAAGAAGGUUUUCGGAUCGUAAAACUCUGUUGUUAGAGAAGAACAAGGACGUUAGUAACUGAACGUCCCCUGACGGUAUCUAACCAGAAAGCCACGGCUAACUACGUGCCAGCCGCCGCGGUAA
rnacentral:rRNA from 1 species